CUACUUAAUCUUAGUUGAUUUUGAAAAUCUGAGUCAGACUUGAUUUGUAUUUGGAUGGGAGGCCACCUGGAAAUCCUAAGACUUUAACUAGA
rnacentral:rRNA from 1 species